CAGCUUUUGGAAAUUGCUCUUCCAUGACUUUUUAUUACAGUUGUACUAUAAGAAUGAAUGAUUGCACAACAAAAUAUACUCUCCUAUAUUUCCUGCCUCACAUCAAACAUUUAAAGAACAACAGCGAACUCUCGCUAUUAGAGUCUGCGAUGUUGCGUUCUGUCAAAUAAUGAUAUUUAUCGUCUCGUUAAUUAUUAGUU